GCUGCCUAGGAGCAGAGCCCCUGGAGAGGCGUGGGGUCGAACCCGGGGACACACCUGUGGCGCAUUGUCUGACUGAGGCUGGGAGUAUUUAAGAAGCGGCGAGCGACACUUCCUUGCCUGAGUGUUUGUUUACCUCGGUUUACCUGGAUUCCUCCGGAGUUUUCCGAGAGGAGAGUUCUGUGGGUCGUUUGUCCCGGACUCCGACCAGCCGUCAGUUCGCUCCUCCGCUCAGUCUGACUUACCUGUCCGCCCUCCAACGGUUCGCUGCCUCUCCACGCCGCCCCUGGGUCCGUUGUUGCUCCAAAGGAAACAUCCAUCCGCUCCUAUGGCUGAACUGGUUGCCCCUUCCAGACUCCUGCUCCGUGUUUUCUCCCCAACCCUAUUCCCUCUUGUCAAUAAACUCCAUUAUUGUUUUGCA